rnacentral:rRNA from 1 species
CAGUGAGGAAUAUUGGUCAAUGGACGAGAGUCUGAACCAGCCAAGUAGCGUGAAGGAUGAAGGUUUAUGGAUUGUAAACUUCUUUUAUACGGGAAUAACGGAUCCCCGUGUGGAUUUUUGCAUGUACCGUAUGAAUAAGGAUCGGCUAACUCCGUGCCAGCAGCCGCGGUAAUACGGAGGAUCCGAGCGUUAUCCGGAUUUAUUGGGUUUAAAGGGAGCGUAGAUGGGUUGUUAAGUCAGUUGUGAAAGUUUGCGGCUCAACCGUAAAAUUGCAAUUGAUACUGGCAGUCUUGAGUACAGUUGAGGUAGGCGGAAU